GUAGGUAGUCUUGUAACUCAGGAAGGAAACCCAUCAUGUUUUGAUGCACUCGAUAUGCCUGUUUAUAACUAGCUGAGUCAACAAGCUAAAUUUUUCUUCAUGGUGUUGGAAUAUUAAGGUCACGGUGUGCUGUCAAACAGAGAUUUGGAAAUCCCUUCUAAAAAUGAAGCUGGGAUAUGGUGAAGCACACCUCUGACUCCUUUAUAAAAUCAAUUUUGAAUUGGUUGUCUUAUUCCACUCCCUUGGCUGUGAGACAAGGAAAGAAAGAGAAGGCCACUGCUGAAGAGCAUCUUGAGACUACAGUGCUGUAUGAAGCCCAACUUUGGACAGAGGGAUGGAAUUUGGCAGAGUCUAAGGACUCAUGCCUCAGGAUACCAUGGUUCCUGACUUUUGGCUCUCUCUCUGUUACCCUGAAUGUCUCAACUUUACCUCUCAGAUAAGUGGCCCAAGCAUGUCCUUCCAUUGAUAAUCUAUAUGGAACCAGCAAGCUUAUGAGAAACAAAGCACAUGAUACCCAGUGCAGCAAGUCUAGCCCUCUUUCAGCACUGCUCCUAUAAAGUAUUAUCUUCCUCUGGCACAGUACUUAUCCAUCUUGUUUGUGUCUCUUAUCUUUCAUUAAAAAGUGCACUGGGGUCACUAUUAGCUGCAGUAAUGGUUUCUGUAUGCUGAAACCUACAGAUAUGUACUUUACUAUGUGGUAGCAGGGUGUGGUGGACUCACUUAUCAAACGAAGAAAUACUCACCAAAAUUGUAAAACUGCAAAGCUAAUCAUCUAGCUUUAAAAUGAUUAUGUUAUUGGGCAAAAUUAAUCAAGCAAAUGAUUGGAAUUAGUUUAACCAAAUGAAUUAAUUUUUAUUCCUCUACAAAUAUUUGUAAGGCAAACCACAAGUUUCUUCUUUACUUUUUGAAGCUGCAGUUUCCCCAUUUAGAGGCUACAGAAGCUGGCUGUUUAUAAGUUAAUAUUUCCACAACUUGAUAGACUUUCUGCCUGAAAAUGGUAGACUACUCUGUCUUUCCGCAGUCAAAUCUAUAAUAGCUCAUUAUAUACUGAAAAAGAGCUCACUAGGACCUGAGCAAUGGCACAAUCCCACAUCUUCAAGUGGUAUUGAGAGAUGGAGUAUUCUCUUGGUUCCUUAAGGCUUAAUUUAUGUGAACAUAAUUGAAGACACUCAUACAAGAGAAGAAUGAAAGAAUAUAUAUUAAACGGGACUUGCAAGCUUCUACUUUUUAAAAUUAUAAAAAAGAAAAUUUCCAUAAGCCACUCUCUCUUUUAUUAGGUAACACUGGUUUACAUAUAAAAUUGUAUAUUUAAAAGCUAAGUAAAUAUUUAUUUUGGAUAAUGUUAUCAGAUGUCAGAAGAGAUCCCAUAUCUAACAAAAUCCAUAUUCAAAUUUGAAUUGAAGGAGUAUCCAUCUUUUAGAAGAAUAUUAAAAAUAUUAUUUUUUCCUUAGUCAGGAUAAUUAACCAUAAAAUGAAUUUGUAUUUAAGAAUAGCCAGUCAUUAUUAUCCAGAAUAAUGUAUCUACUAAAUAUUUAAUAAAUGUUCCAGCGAUAUAAACAUGUUAAGAUUAAAGAAUAAAAUAAUUUACAAAAUAUGCCUUACCUAAAGUCUUAACAGGGUCAGAGUAGUCAGAGUCAGUAAAUUGUCCCAUGACAUUUGUGGCUCUAAAUUUAAACCUAUAAGAUCAAAUAAAAGAAAUGUCAACAAUUUGCAAAUCACAUUACUUUUUUCUACAAAUAAUUUAACAAACAGUUAUGAAAAUUUUAUUCAAAAAAUGAAUUUAGGAGAUGUAAAUUUUGAAAUUAAACCACAAUCAGGACAAAUUUAUAUUAUAUUUGCAUGAAAUGAAUAAAUUCAUUGUCUUGCUCUGGGCAUAAUGAAUUUAACAGGUCAGUGACUAAAAAAUUUGGUCACACUCAUAAACAGUCAUCAGUUGAAGCAAAUGCAGUAAUCAUCUCUCUCAUAGAUUUAUUUGGAUGGAAUGAUUACAUAUCUGUGAAAAUGUCCAAUACUAAUAUACUUAACAAAUACAAAGCAUAAUAAUUGUUAUUACUUCAACCAUCUUUAGAAGUGCUAGUGAAUUAGAUUACGAUGAUCAUAUGGAACUUGUCUCAUUUACAUGAAAACAAACAACUUAUCUUCUUUCUGUGUGUACACAGUCAUAUUUGCCCAUUUUAUGCAUUUAUAAUAUUUGAAAUAAAAAAUACACAAAAGAAUGAAGCUUAAAAAUAAAUGAGUGAUUCUAAGUAUCCUAAAGGACUAAUGAACUUUGUCUACAGGAAUAAAAAGAAUCAAAAUAUGCUCAGUACUUCUACACAUGCCCUAAGAUGAAUGUAAUAUCAUAUACUCCAGACUUUUAUGAAUAAAAAUAUUCAAGAUCAGUUUCAUCUCCAAAAAACCACCAAAAUGUAAAGACAUCAGGGCAUUACAAAUUUAAUCUAUAAAUUAUAAUACAUGAUUUAUCAUUAUCAUUAUCUCUAACAUUAUCAAGUUCUUGUUAUUGUAUUUGCUAUAGAAAGAGUC